GUAAUGUAGUGUGUGUGUAUAUAAUGUAAUGUAGUGUGUGUGUGUGUGUGUAUAUAAUGCACAUACUACACACUCUGCAUUAUAUACACACACACUACAUUA